AUUGAAACAACAUUAUUAAUUGUGGUAAACCUUAUCUGGCAGUACUUAAGAGUGCAUCUUUGACUUUAUUACUCGAGUGAAUGCACCUUCAAACCGGUUUAACACCAACAUGUCACAGUAAUCAAUACCAUCUGUGUUAAGAUGUCGGGAAUGUGUUAGACGAAUGAUUUUGUUUUAUGGAGCUUUGAAGAGCGAUGAAUGGCACUAAAGUGGUGCCAAAUGGAUAUCUCAAACACCCAUUGUUGAUGUGUGAUGCUGAUAAUACAGAGACAGCUAGAGUGACAGAGUUUGAUGAAUAAACUUAAAUUAAAAAACAGAAAUAACCACCAUCUCUCUCAGAGGUCAUCUUUCUCAUUAUUGUGGGAAACCUCAAAGGGCAUCAGGAAAACCUUCAUCAACCUCUUUGUGCCCAGUGGCUUGUGCAACAGUGUUUCAGAAAUUAUCAUUAAAAUGGGGAUAAUGGAUGACUGGCCACACAUA